ACCCAAUUCCCCCUGAGAAAGAGAAAGAGGUGGAGUCAUUUAAAAAUUAACUGCCUGUUUUUCUGUCUGGCUAGUGAGCCUUAUCUCUCACUUUCCCAGGCAUUGUGAAGACCGUUUCUCUAGCUAUGCAGCUGCAAGGUCACUAGACAGAUAAACUUAAGUUGUAAAACAUGUUUUUUCUUGAAAAGUAACAAAUGAUGUAAUACAAGUCUCAACUGAAUAACUGUCUUUGUUUCUCACUUCUGUAAUAUGCUUCCCCUACACAGAUCUCCCCUAACCCUACAAAAUGCUUAAAAGGUAACUUGACUCUUUGGGGGCUCAGUCAUUUUUGAAUGUUAAUCUGACUGGGCUGGUGGACCUAAAUAAUAAUAAUAAUAAAUCCUCCUCAACUCCUCAGUCUUUCUGAUUCCUAAAUUAUCCUGAAACAUUUCUGGUGGCCCAUACAGGGAUCAGAGAUGACAGAUUUACUGUCUCCUUUGCCUGUGGGACUAGAGCCCCAGGGCCGGGGGAGACCCAGCAUGCAAGGUGCACCCUAGGGGACUUUCACCUGGAUGGAGACCAGCUCUCCCUGCAUCCUGGCAGCCUACCCAGCAGUACAACAGAACUGGGGAUGAGGCUACAGGACAAUACUAGCACUUCAGGAACUGCGCCGACUGAAACCAGUGGCAGCAGUGACUCCCAAUGAUGACCAGUGGAUUAGCCAACAAGACCCAGAUCACCCCACCCGAAUGGGCCUACGGUGAAACCCAACCACCAGUAAGAAGGACAAUUGCCUUGCUCUGACCACACUGGAGACUGGUCAGUCUACCCACAGCUGAAGCUUGAGAAUCCUGCAAGCUCUGCUCUAGUCACAUCCUGGAAUCUGACUAGUCCACACACAGCCGAAGCUAAGAGGGCCAUCACUGAAUAAGCAUUGUGAAGACCCUGUUUCUCUAGCCGUGCAGCUGCAAGGUCACUAGACAGAAAAACUCAAGUCAUAAACAUGUUUUUUCUUGAAAGGUGGAUAUUGAGGAAGAAACAGAAAAAUCCAAGACAAUCCCCUGUGGAAGAAAAUUAUCCAACCCAAAUUUCAACUGAACCCAAAGCUCAACCCAAAGCACUAAACAGCACAUCAAGACCUGUCAAAUAUAAUCACACAAUCUAAUACUUUUAAAUACGCAAAAUGAAGAGCACCAAAGUCAAUGUCAUUCAGAAAUAACAAUAACAAAACUAGAACACCCCGAUGCCAUUAGGCCUCAAGGAAUUCCAAAGUAGUGUAUUAGGUAUAAAAAAUAUAUAUGUAAUUAGAAAUGUUUACAGAAAUUAGAGGGAUUUUUUUGUUUGUUAGUUUGUUGGUUUGUUUGUUUGAGACGAGGUCUCGCUGUGUCACCCAGGCUGGAGUGCAGCAGCGCGAUCUCGGCUCACUGCAAGCUCCGCCUCCUGGGUUCACGCCAUUCUCCUGCCUCAACCUCCCGAGUAGCUGAGACUACAGGCACCCGCCACCAUGCCCGGGUAAUUUUUUGUAUUUUUUUUUAUUAGAGAUGGGGUUUCACCGUGUUAGCCAGGAUGGGAGGGAUUUUUUUUAAAAAAAGAUUUGGCCUCUAAAACAGUUAACAUUUCAGUAAAGAAGAAAAGAUAAAUUCAAUGUUUGAUAUACAUACAUACAAAUAAAUUUCAGGAAAAUGAAAAGUC